GGAUUGUGGCUCAGUGGUACAGCGCUUGCCUAGCAUGUGGGAGGCACUGGGUUGGAUCCCCAGCACCA
rnacentral:tRNA from 1 species